UACGUAGGGCGCAAGCGUUGUUCCGGAAUUAUUGGGCGUAAAGAGCUCGUAGGUGGUUUGUCGCGUCUGCCGGUGAAAGCCCGGGCUUAACUCCGGGUCUGCGGUGAUGACGGCAGACUAGAGGCAGGUAGGGAGAACGGAAUUCCGGUGUAGCGGUGAAUGCGCAGAUAUCGGAGGAACACCGGUGGCGAAGGCGGUUCUCUGGCCUGUACUGACGCUGAGAGCGAAGCGUGGGAGCGAACAGG
rnacentral:rRNA from 1 species